rnacentral:rRNA from 1 species
UACGGGGGGGGCAAGCGUUGUUCGGAAUUACUGGGCGUAAAGGGCUCGUAGGCGGCCAACUAAGUCAGACGUGAAAUCCCUCGGCUUAACCGGGGAACUGCAUCUGAUACUGGAUGGCUUGAGUUCGGGAGAGGGAUGCGGAAUUCCAGGUGUAGCGGUGAAAUGCGUAGAUAUCUGGAGGAACGCCGGUGGCGAAAGCGACUGUCUGGGGUGUCUGUGACGCUGAGGCGCGAAAGCCAGGGGAUCAAACGGG